AAAAGUUCUAUGUGAAAAAUUAUACAUAUAAAUAAAUUUUUUAUGGUUUAAAGAUUUUUAUUUAAAUUUGUUUUACAUAUAAAUUUUAGUGUUAAAUAUUAAUUAUUUAAAUAAUAUUUAAUUUUUAUUAUAGUAAUUAAUUUUAAAAAUUUAAGAAAUUAAGAUUUAGUAAUAUUUUAAUUUAAUAACUAAUUUUGUGCCAGCAGUUGCGGUUAUACAAAAAUUAAUUAAAAAUUUUUUAGUUGUUAAUAAUUAUUUAAUUGGAUAAUUUAAAUUUAAGAUUGUUAAGUGAAAUUUUAAUUUUAUAAAAAAUUAUUUUAUAGUUAAGAAUUAAUAAAUUUUAUUAAAAACUAGGAUUAGAUACCCUAUUAUUAAAAAUUUAAAUGUAAAAUACUAAAAUAGUAGGUAUAUUUAUUGAAACUUAAAUAAUUUGGCGGUAUUUUAGUAUAUUUAGAGGAAUCUGUUUAAUAAUUGAUAUUCCACGAGUAAAUUUACUUAAUUUAGGAUUUUGUAUAUCGUUGUUAUAAAAAUAUUUUUUAAUAAUAAUAAUAUUUGAAAAUUUUUAUAAAAAAUUAAAUCAGAUCAAGAUGCAGAUUAUAAUUAAGAAUAUAAUGGAUUACAAUAAAUUUAUUUAGUUGGAUUUUAAUAUGAAAAGAUUAAUUGAAAUUGGAUUUAAAUGUAAUUUUAUUUAAAUUAAUAGAAUGAUUAUUAAUUAAAAUAUGUACAUAUUGCCCGUCGCUUUCAUUUAUAAAUUGGAAUAAGUCGUAACAAAGUAGAGGUACUGGAAAGUGUUUCUAGAAAGAU
rnacentral:ncRNA from 1 species